UCCACUAGUAGCAUCAUGCAGAAAUAUCCUAAAAGUUGCAGGUUACCGCAGUGCCAUUAACCUAACUUCAGAUGUCCAAUGUUACAAAGGAAAUAACAUUCUGAACCUAGAUUAUUGUUAUUUCUGCACAUCAAGCAAUUUUAAUACAAUUGGAAGAAUGGAUAUGUUGUGACGUGAAGAAUUUUCAACAACCAAAUAUCUCCAAGGACCUUGAUCAUAUAAACUCGGGAUAAUUGCUGAAGCACUUGAAAAUUCCAAUAAAACGGUUAUUUUUAAGACACGUGCAGAUUUUUUG